AGAUUGAACGCUGGCGGCAGGCCUAACACAUGCAAGUCGAGCGGCAGCACGGGUACUUGUACCUGGUGGCGAGCGGCGGACGGGUGAGUAAUGCCUAGGAAUCUGCCUGGUAGUGGGGGAUAACGCUCGGAAACGGACGCUAAUACCGCAUACGUCCUACGGGAGAAAGCAGGGGACCUUCGGGCCUUGCGCUAUCAGAUGAGCCUAGGUCGAUUAGCUAGUUGGUGAGGUAAUGGCUCACCAAGGCGACGAUCCGUAACUGGUCUGAGAGGAUGAUCAGUCACACUGGAACUGAGACACGGUCCAGACUCCGUACGGGAGGCAGCAGUGGGAAUAGUUGACAAGUGGGCGAAAGCCUAGGAUCCAGGCCAGUCGACCGCGUGUGUAGAAGUAAGGUCGUUCGGAUUGUAAAACGCGUACGUUUAAAGGUUGGAAGGUAAGGGCAAAGGUUAAAAUUUAAGUUACCGUUUUAGG
rnacentral:rRNA from 1 species